UGCGGUAUUUUAACUGUACCCAUUUAAGGUAAUAAUUUGCCUUAUAAUUUGAGGCUAGAAUGCCUUGUUUGACGAAGGUUAAUCUGUCUCUAUCCUAUUUUGUAGAAUUUAAUUUUUAAAGUGAAAAAGCUUGUAUUUUUUAAAGGGACGAGAAGACCCUAUUGAGCUUAUAAUUUUACUGUUGUUUAUAAGUAUUUAUUUAAUGAUGGAUAAAUUUUAAUUGGGGUGAUUGAGGAAUAAAAUAUAUUAAAUAGUAACUUCCUUAGGUUAAAUGUUGUUGGAUAAAGUAACCAAUAUAUUAUUGCUUAUAAUAUAGUUACCAUAGGGAUAACAGCGUAAUUUAUUUAGAGAGUUCUUAUUGAAAAAUAAGAUUGCGACCUCGAUGUUGGAUUAAAGUAACCUUAAGGUGCAGAAGCUU
rnacentral:rRNA from 1 species